rnacentral:rRNA from 1 species
AUCAACGCUGGCGGCGCGCUUAACACAUGCAAGUCGCACGAGAAAGUGGAGCAAUCCAUGAGUACAGUGGCGUACGGGUGAGUAACACGUGGAUGAUCUACCUCUUAGUGGGGAAUAACCCAGGGAAACCGGGGCUAAUACCGCAUAAGCUCGAGAGAGGAAAGCAGCAAUGCGCUGAGAGAGGAGUCCGCGGCCGAUUAGCUAGUUGGCAGGGGUAACGAGCCCUACCAAGGCAGAGAUCGGUAGCCGGCCUGAGAGGGCACACGGCCACACUGGCACUGAAACACGGGCCAGACUCCUACGGGAGGCAGCAGUGGGGAAUCUUGCACAAUGGGGCGAAAGCCUGAUGCAGCGACGCCGCGUGAGCGAUGAAGCCCUUCGGGGUGUAAAGCUCUUUCGGACGGGAACGAUGAUGACGGUACCUGCAGAAGAAGCUGCGGCUAACUACGUGCCAGCAGCCGCGGUAAUACGUAGGCAGCGAGCGUUGUUCGGAGUUACUGGGCGUAAAGAGUGUGUAGGGCGGUGCUUCCAGUCUGCUGUGAAAUCUCCCGGCUUAACUGGGAGGGUGCAGCCGAAACUAGAAGUGCUAGAGGGUGGGAGAGGUAAGCUGGAGUUCCUGGUGUAGCGGUGAAAUGCGUAGAUAUCAGGAGGAACACCGGUGGUGUAGACAGGCUUACUGGACCACGUAACUGACGCUGAGAACACGAAAGCGUGGGUAGCAAACAGGAUUAGAUACCCUGGUAGUCCACGCCCUAAACGAUGCAUACUUGGUGUGAGCGAUUCAUUUCGUUCGUGCCGGAGCUAACGCGUUAAGUAUGCCGCCUGGGGAGUACGGUCGCAAGGCUGAAACUCAAAGGAAUUGACGGGGGCCCGCACAAGCGGUGGAGCAUGUGGUUCAAUUCGACGCAACGCGAAGAACCUUACCUGGGCUCGAACGGCUUUGGAUCAUCUUUGGAAACAGAGACUUCUCGCAAGAGACCGGAGUCGAGGUGCUGCAUGGCUGUCGUCAGCUCGUGUCGUGAGAUGUUGGGUUAAGUCCCGCAACGAGCGCAACCCUUGUCCUGUGUUGCCACUCCCGUAAGGGAAGCACUCUCAGGAGACCGCCAGCGAUAAGUUGGAGGAAGGUGGGGAUGAUGUCAAGUCAUCAUGGCCUUUAUGUCCAGGGCUACACACGUGCUACAAUGGACGGUACAAAGCGCUGCAAACCCGCGAGGGGGAGCCAAUCGCAAAAAACCGUUCUCAGUUCGGAUCGCAGGCUGCAACUCGCCUGCGUGAAGCUGGAAUCGCUAGUAAUGGCGUAUCAGAACGAUGCCGUGAAUACGCUCCCGGGCCUUGUACACACCGCCCGUCACAUCACGAAAGUGGAUUGUACUAGAAGUCCUAAUCAAACAGGCCCAAGGUGUGAUUCAUGAUUGGGGUG